UAGUUUUACUGUUGAAUUUCUUUUUUUGUUCACUUGAUUUUGAUUUUAUUUAUUCCCUAGUUUUGACCUAAGUUUCGAAUUUGUUGAUUAUGAGUUAUUAUAUUAUAAUCUUGUCAAUUUUAGUAAAUAUAUGUAAUUUCUCAUAUAUUUGAUGUUAUUAUUAAUAGUCAUUUAUGUAGGGGUUACUUGUUUUGUAUUUUUGUCAUGUUCAGUACUUGUUUAUGUAGGUGUCACCUAUCUAAUGGUUUUCUUAGGGUUAAUUGGUUCUUUUUAGAGUAACAUAGUUUUAGUUUGAUCUACGUUGUUGUUUUUUAUGGUUGUGGUUGGUGAUUAGAGUAACAUAGUUAAUUGUGGUUUUUUUUUUUUUUUUUUUUGGUUUGUUUAAUGAAGAUGCUAAGGAUGUGAAUGAUUUGCAUGGUUGUUCUUGCUGAUUAGAGUAAUGUAGUUGAUUGAGGUUUUUCAUUAGAUUCUAAGGAUGGAAAUAAUUUGCAACCUACUGAGGAUUAUAUUUCUGCUGAGGAUGUGAAUGCUAAGGAUGUAAAUGUUUUGCAACGUACUGAGGAUUAGAAAUUUGUUGAGGUUGCUGAGGAUGUAAAUGAUUUGCAACUUACUGAGGAUUUGAAAUAUGUUGAGGCUAUUGAGGAUGUGAAAUUUGUCAAUGCGAAGAAACGAAAAGGUCGACGUGCUGCUGAAUCUAGUCAAGAAGUUGAUGUCAAGCCUGAUGUUGAGGAUGUGAAACCUGUCAUUGCAAAGAAACGAAGAGGUCGUAAAGCUGCUGCUGGUUCUAGUCAAGUAGUUGAAGUUGUAAAAGUUGAAGGGUAAGGUGAAGAGUGGGAUGAUGAAGUUAUCAUGCGAUGCAGACAAGCUGGUGUUGUUCAAUUUUUGAAAAAAUCAACUGAAACACAAAAGACAAUUGUUACGUCUAUUAGGUUUGGUAGUUUGGCAUCAAUAAAGUUAGAAAUCUGUCUAAGGCAAAUAAUUUGCUGGCUUUGUGAACACUUUGAUGCAAAGUCUUGUUCUUUUAAGCUA